GGUGCUGGUUGACAUGCUCGGGCUCCUAGGCAUUCCAGAGAUUUAUGGAAAAUCCAGAGGAAGGAGGAGGCUAGAGGAUCCUCGAGAUCGGGAACGCUCCUCUACUGGUCUGCAUACUGGAGAGCCCUGGAGUUUUCCAUCUAGACCUGGUCCUGGAAUGCAGGCUUAUUGGCAGAUGGCUGUGGAGGCACAGAAUGACCUAAAGAUAGAAAAACGGGCUUCCUUUACGUGCCUUGUGACGGGUGAGUUUUCUCUUGAAUGCUGCGUGUGUGAUGGACCAGUGCCUUGCAGAGCCCCUGACCUGGCAGGUAGGAGUCCAGCCUACCCUUCCGGCUGUGUCGCAUCCCCCAUGACAGCACUGAGGUGGCCCGUGAAGACAGCCUGGGUUCUGCUCUCCUCUGACCACCGACAGCACACGCAGUGCGUUCUACAUCACUCAGUACUCGGCAGGUGCCUUCAAAUCCAGACUCAGUUGCUUACUAGCUGUGCAACCUCGGGCAAGGGACUUAACCUCCCCGAGCCUCAGUUUCCUCCUGACAGGAAUCCUAUCUACUUCCAUGAGUCUUGUGAGAUUCUUUAA
rnacentral:lncRNA from 1 species